rnacentral:rRNA from 1 species
AUUGAACGCUGGCGGCAGGCUUAACACAUGCAAGUCGAGCGGAGUGAUGGUGCUUGCACUAUCACUUAGCGGCGGACGGGUGAGUAAUGCUUAGGAAUCUGCCUAUUAGUGGGGGACAACAUCUCGAAAGGGAUGCUAAUACCGCAUACGUCCUACGGGAGAAAGCAGGGGAUCACUUGUGACCUUGCGCUAAUAGAUGAGCCUAAGUCGGAUUAGCUAGUUGGUGGGGUAAAGGCCUACCAAGGCGACGAUCUGUAGCGGGUCUGAGAGGAUGAUCCGCCACACUGGGACUGAGACACGGCCCAGACGCCUACGGGAGGCAGCAGUGGGGAAUAUUGGACAAUGGGGGGAACCCUGAUCCAGCCGUGCCGCGUGUGUGAAGGAGGCCUUAUGGUUGUAAAGCACUUUAAGCGAGGAGGAGGCUCUUUUGGUUAAUACCCAAGAUGAGUGGACGUUACUCGCAGAAUAAGCACCGGCUAACUCUGUGCCAGCCGCCGCCGUAA